UACGAAGGGGGCUAGCGUUGUUCGGAGUUACUGGGCGUAAAGGGCGCGUAGGCGGCCCUCCAAGUCGGGCGUGGAAGCCCACGGCUCAACCCGUGGAAUUGCGCUCGAGACUGAAGGGCUCGAGGACGGGAGAGGAUGGGUGGAAUUCCCAGUGUAGAGGUGAAAUUCGUAGAUAUUGGGAAGAACACCGGUGGCGAAGGCGGCACACUGGCCCGAGUACUGACGCUGAGGCACGAAAGCGAUGGGGAG
rnacentral:rRNA from 1 species